UCACGUAGCUGAGAGUUUCUAAAACGCCGAAUUCUAAAACGCCGAAAAGCCGAAAUGCCGAAAAACCAUCUUGGAGUAACAGAAUAAAAAACGGAAUGCGAGCAAAGAACAACCGGUAGUCAACCCCCGCAUUAUUAGUUUAAAUUAAUGUUUUGAAUUUUAUAAAAUUCAAAACAUGUAAAAUUAAAAAAUAUAAUGUAGCAAUAAGUUUUGUAUUGCUAUGCCAUCUAUGUGUUGUAUACCAAAAUAAUAGUGGCCUGCAACAAUAAAGUAAGUUUAGCGGAAGCUGCACAAUAAGGGGAAAGCCUGUCACUAAUGCUAAACAUGCACAAAAAAUGACAAGGAAUGCAAGCAUUGGGAGAAGCUUUAAGCUUUGCAAAGUGCUGUAUAUGAAGGAAGGUACCUAAAGACACCCGAAAAUUGCGAUAUAGGUUGACAUCUAUUUCAAAUGAUAUCAAAAAUUAACUUUGAAUAUGGGUGUAUGUAAAAACACUGGCAACCAGCUUGUAUGCCAAUAUAUAAAAGUCUCAUUGACCCAUGUUUCAGUGUAUGCUGAUGUAGCUUCUAAAAUGUGAGAGGGCAAGGAAAUUAGACGUUACAGUAUUUUUCACAAACUAAUCUGGCUUUAGUCUAUAUACUACAAGAAGUAAUAAGAAAAAUCAAUUUCAGAAGAUUACCAAUCCUUUCUUCCUGGCAUCUUUCAAAAACUCUUAAAAGUGAAUUUGGCAUUGACAAGUUAUAUACUUUUUUUGUUGCUGAUACUAAAUGGCGAUAAUUAUGUUAUAUCAGCAAAACGAGUAAUGAACAGUUUUAGUCUUCAACGGUUGAAAUUACUCAGCAAACAUGAAUUCAUUGAAGAAACUGAUUGUCGUUGCUCUAGCAUAAAGAUCGUUGCACGAUCGACCUGAUAAAAGAUGAAAUUACUUAUAUAUGUGAUUAAUUAAAAAAAGACAAUUAGUUUGUAAAUAAUCAGGUGAAUGGUAGCCUUUAUUAUAUGGUUGGUUGUGUUCAGCACAGGAUGUUGUGCAUAGUUAAUGUAACAAUAUCAGUUUUUCAGUUCCAAAAUUAAAAAUUAUGUUUCACAUAGUAAAUUGGGUUUUCUUA
rnacentral:misc_RNA from 1 species